rnacentral:tRNA from 1 species
GCGCCAGUAGCUCAGUUGGAUAGAGUGUUUGGCUACGAACCAAGAGGCCGGGGGUUCGAAUCCCUCCUGGCGCACCA